rnacentral:rRNA from 1 species
AUUGAACGCUGGCGGCAUGCCUUACACAUGCAAGUCGAACGGCAGCACGGGGCAACCUGGUGGCGAGUGGCGAACGGGUGAGUAAUGCAUCGGAACGUACCUUUCAGUGGGGGAUAACGUAGCGAAAGUUACGCUAAUACAGCAUAUUCUGUGAGCAGGAAAGCAGGGGAUCGCAAGACCUUGCGCUGAUUGAGCGGCCGAUGUCAGAUUAGCUAGUUGGUGAGGUAAAGGCUCACCAAGGCGAAGAUCUGUAGCGGGUCUGAGAGGAUGAUCCGCCACACUGGAACUGAGACACGGUCCAGACUCCUACGGGAGGCAGCAGUGGGGAACUUUGGACAAUGGGGGCAACCCUGAUCCAGCCAUGCCGCGUGAGUGAAGAAGGCCUUCGGGUUGUAAAGCUCUUUCGGCCGGGAAGAAAUCGCACGGGCUAAUACCCUGUGUGGAUGACGGUACCGGAAUAAGAAGCACCGGCUAACUACGUGCCAGCCGCCGCAGUAACAC